AUUGAACGCUGGCGGCAGGCCUAACACAUGCAAGUCGAGCGAGCGGCGGACGGGUGAGUAAUGUAUGGGGACUGCCCGAUAGAGGGGGAUAACUACUGGAAACGGUGGCUACUACCGCAUACUAUCGGAUAACCCAUAUGGGAUUAGCUAGUAGGAGGGGAAAAGACUCACCUAGGCGACGAUCUCGAGCUGGUCUGAGAGGAUGAUCAACCACACUAGGACUGAGACACGGCCCAGAUUCCUACGGAGGCAGCAGUGGGGAAUAUUGAACGAUGGGCGCAAGCCUGAUGCAGCCAGGCCACGUGUAUGAGAAAGGCCUUAGGGUUGUAAAGUACUUUCAGCAGAGAGACGUUACCCGCAGAAGAAGCACCGGCUAAGUCCGAGCCAGCAGCAGCGAUAAUAC
rnacentral:rRNA from 1 species